rnacentral:rRNA from 1 species
CAGGCCUAACACAUGCAAGUCGAGCGCUUGGGGUGUUCCCUUACGGGUAACCCCCUGGAGCGGCGGACGGGUGAGUAACACGUAGGCAACCUGCCUGUAAGAUCGGGAUAACUACCGGAAACGGUAGCUAAGACCGGAUAGCUGGUUUCUCCGCAUGGGGGAAUCAUGAAACACGGGGCAACCUGUGGCUUACGGAUGGGCCUGCGGCGCAUUAGCUAGUUGGUGGGGUAAUGGCCCACCAAGGCGACGAUGCGUAGCCGACCUGAGAGGGUGAUCGGCCACACUGGGACUGAGACACGGCCCAGACUCCUACGGGAGGCAGCAGUAGGGAAUCUUCCGCAAUGGGCGCAAGCCUGACGGAGCAACGCCGCGUGAGUGAUGAAGGUUUUCGGAUCGUAAAGCUCUGUUGCCAAGGAAGAACGCCUCGGAGAGUAACUGCUCUGAGGGUGACGGUACUUGAGAAGAAAGCCCCGGCUAACUACGUGCCAGCAGCCGCGGUAAUACGUAGGGGGCAAGCGUUGUCCGGAAUUAUUGGGCGUAAAGCGCGCGCAGGCGGUCUUUUAAGUUUGGUGUUUAAGCCCGGGGCUCAACCCCGGUUCGCACUGAAAACUGGGAGACUUGAGUGCAGGAGAGGAAGGCGGAAUUCCACGUGUAGCGGUGAAAUGCGUAGAGAUGUGGAGGAACACCAGUGGCGAAGGCGGCUUUCUGGACUGUAACUGACGCUGAGGCGCGAAAGCGUGGGGGGCAAAC